rnacentral:rRNA from 1 species
UACGGAGGGUGCAAGCGUUAUCCGGAUUCACUGGGUUUAAAGGGUGCGUAGGUGGAGUGGUAAGUCUGGGGUGAAAUGCCGCGGCUCAACCGUGGAACUGCCUCAGAUACUGUCGGCCUCGAGGGAGGUAGGGGCGUGCGGAACUGUAGGUGGAGCGGUGAAAUGCGUUGAUAUCUACAGGAACUCCGGUGGCGAAAGCGGCGCGCUGGACCUCUUCUGACGCUGAGGCGCGAAAGCUAGGGGAGCGAACGGG